rnacentral:tRNA from 1 species
GCCCUCGUAGCUCAAUGGAUAGAGCACCUGACUUCGGAUCAGGCGGUUGCAGAUUCGAGUUCUGCCGAGGGCAC